AGUGUAUGAUCUAUUGAAAGAAUCUGGGAAGACGCCAGAAAGCAAAUUGCCGAUGGCAAAGAAGUAGAUGUCUCAAGCAAGAAGCCAGGAAGAUCUGGCCGGAAGAGAAAGGAGCUGGAUCUAGCGAGGACCUCAACAAUCCCACUGAAUAAAAGAAGGACAAUUUGAUCUCUGGCAUGGUCCCUAGGUGUGGCCCGAUCCACCCUACAUAAGAGGUUCCAGUUGAAUGAGCUCAACUGCAUCACAAGCACUGUGAAGCCUCACCUCAAGCCAGAGAACAAGCUUGCGAGAUUAAAAUUUUGUAUGUCCAUGCUCGAUUACAAUGUGAUUUCAACUUCUCGGGCUAUGUUUAAGCUAGUGACCAAUAUGGUUCACAUUGAUGAAAAGUGGUUUUACAUGACGAGGGUGAAGAAUAGUUAG
rnacentral:rRNA from 1 species